rnacentral:lncRNA from 1 species
CCCCAAAUUUAAACCGUUGCUUGUCCUCAAGCAACAACAAUGCUAAUGCAAUCUACAUACUAUGCAAGCUACGCUACGCUACUAUGACAAUGAAUCCCCAGAUUUCUAGCCAUGUUAAGAAUUCCAAUAAGUCAUGCCUCAGAGAAAUAUCAAGAUCCAAGAACAAAGCAUCAAACUAAGCUAAAGGCAUAAUGACAUACAAUCAUAUAAUCCUAACUUGCUAUAAAGAUGCUGUGUGUGUGUGUGAUGUGUUCACAGAUAAGCUUGACAAAGGUGAAAAUACCACAUGCUUUAUUGCUUAAGGCAGAAAAUUGAAGGUUAACUCAAUAAGUGCAUAUACUAAUGAGACAUCAACUACUCCAACACAUCAAUACACACUAAGGUUCAACAGUGGGUUUAUUCUGCUCUAUUUUUACUCACGAGGGCGAUUCUCGCACUUUCCCGCGGUGUUUAUUGUUUUUUUUAUAGCGAGUGCGUUUUACGCUCCAUCUCACUUUCCAUUUCCAUUUAAACGAGUGCGUUUUACGCUCCAUCUCGCUUUCUAUUUCCAUUUAAACGAGUGCAUUUUACGCUCCAUCUCGUCCCAAUAGCAAGCAUACCCAUGUGUUCUCAAAGUUUGAGUAUCUGUGUUUUCAUAGUCUAUGUCUCACUUCCUACACAAUUCUAUCAUUAAAAACAACAUUUUCC